rnacentral:rRNA from 1 species
GUGGAUGAGGCAUGCAAGUCGAACGAUAUGGGGGCAACUCCAUAUAGUGGCGCAAGGGUUAGUAAUACAUAGAUAAUCUACCUCCGACUCGGGAAUAACGGCUGGAAACGGCCGCUAAUACCGGAUGAGGUGAUGGUUGGCAUCAACCAUUUAUCAAUGCAGGGGACCGAAAGGCCUUGUGGUUGGAGAAGAGUCUAUGGGAUAUCAGCUAGUUGGUGAGGUAAUGGCUCACCAAGGCUAAGACGUCUAGGCGGAUUGAGAGAUUG